GUGCUUCCAGUAAGUCGGUCAUAAGAGUGUACUGAUAGCAACUUGAGCGCCGAGGGAAUAGAAGAGCAGUGGCUCAUUCUCGUAGGGGUUCUUUCCCUUGCUAAUUGCAUUCGGUUUCAGCAAGGGCAGUAUAUUGGAGCAGUGUUUUUGGCUGCAAAGAGUUUACUCAAGUGAUGCUUCAUUAGGCGCUUAAGCAAAUUCGAAAGCAAAGGCAUUGUGGUAUUCUUAGUUCUAAGUUUCUUCUACUCUCUUUCUCAAAUUAAUUCUUGAAGUUACCUUGCAAUUGAGGUAACGCUUGACUCUAAAAAUUGAUUAGCAUAGUUGAUAUAUAUAUAUAUAUAUGCGAUUUAGGGCAUUUGC
rnacentral:misc_RNA from 1 species